rnacentral:lncRNA from 1 species
AUGUAUCUGUUGUUCAUGCAAACUCCAUGGGGCUGCAUAGAAUAUACAUUAUUGUGAAAUGCUACAUUUUGUAUGAACUUUAAUCUUAAUGAAUGGUGCAUUUUCCUUUUAGUUGCAAUGUUGUUAAAUUAGACUAGCAUAUGAAUUAGACUAGCAUAUGCAAAUAUAUGUUAUGAUAAAUAUAAGUACAUCAUUAGGCUGA